ACGGUAGUUUGCUUACAUUGUUUUCAAUAACAGUGUACAGAAGACUAGAAGAAAAUUACAAACUUGGAGCAGUCUGAGCCUCAGUUUUGGCGUUUUCAUGAGUCUUAAUUACGAAUGAAAUUCGCCACUUUGAAGCCAAACUCGGAAAGAAGCAGAAACAGAAUUGGAUGAGCUGAUAUAGAAUUAGACAGGAAAAACAUUAUCAUUAUGAGAAUACAUUAUGACAGUACAGACCAUUGAUGCU